GAGAACCGUUUUUUUACGGCCGUAAUUCUAGGCACACUUAACUUGGGAGUAAAUGCUAUUGAAUCCAAGAUUGGGAUGAGGGUUUGUUUAUCCUUAAAUUGGACUUGGACCGGAGACACCUUCAAACAGAGGACUGUCCACCCCAAAGGAGGCCACCUGGACACCCUGUCAACACCAUUGCUUUUGAAACUCCCCAAAGUUUCAAAAAACAGUUUGCCAUGUAGUGACAGGCAGUAAAUCCUGUUGCGGAAGUGUAUCUGAAAAGUGGCUGCCUUAUUUUGAAAGGCCUGGACCACAGAGGCAAAGAGCGUUCCAGCAGGCUCAGGAUGAGAAUGUGGUGAUGGUUAAGGGGUUGCCUGGCAGGUGGACGCCUUGUGAUGCAGCACAGAAGAACGCAGUGGUGUCCCUGGCCUUCCCUUCUGAAGUGAGUUAAGGAAGCUGUUGGGGAUUUUAGAACUGCUCUGCAGAGACAGGCCAAAAGGAUGCAGGAGCCUGCCAAGAAAUGGGUUCUUGUUUCCAUGGACGAUAAGAGAGCUCCCAUAAAUCACAUUGCAAAGAGCAGCCUGACUGAGCAGCAAAGAGGACUUUCCCCUCCCCUUUCUGUCACUGUGCAUCCUGAGACUGCAUUUUAUUCCAGGGUGCAUUUUGCUUCUCUUGUGAAAGAAUGCUUGAAAAAGCUGCUUUUUAUUUCGUUGUCUUAUUGCUUGUUUGAUUAUAUAUUUAUUGCUUUUGCUUUAUCUAUGAGCCUGCUUGGGUAUAUUGCUUGCAGAAAGGCUGGACAGAGAAAAAAUGUAUAAUAAAACAAUACACACACUUCUAAGAGUGCAGUGCUAUACAGAAGUAAGUCCCAUUAAGUUAAAUGAGGCUCACUCCUGGGUAAUACAGGUCUAUAACUGCAGCCUACAGGACCAGUGGAGAUUUCCAGAUCUGUCUUGACAUAAAACUUCAUGUUUAUUAAAGAGCUGUGGCUGUUGCCUUCUUACCCCUGAACCCAAAGCAGUUCUGGGAAAUCCUGGUAAUCAAGACCGAGUUGUUUCUCUUGUGGAUGGACCUGACUCAAAAUUUCUGCUCAAUACCAGAAAUGCUGAGUGCUCUUGUACAAGUCAGUUGCUUGGUUCAACACAAGCCAUGGUUUAUUAAACUAUGGUCUAUUAAACCAGGGUUUAGGGUUAUGUGUGAACUCUGCCCAGCAGCUAUGGCUUGUUUACUGCCAACCAACCACAAUCUGAAGCCAUGGUUUACUGUUGCUUAUAAACCUUGGUUUGUUUUAACUAUGGCUUGGGGUUAAGUGUGAACCUAGCAACCCUCCUCAACCAAGGUUUGUUUUGGCCAACCAACCAGAUGCUCAACAAGCUUCAGAAGCAUGAGGCAAGAGCAGCUGGCAAACAAACCAAACUUUGGAGAAACAAGCCACAGUUUCUUUGAUAAUUUGAGGGAUGACUUGUGGUUAACUUGUGGUUUGUUAAAGAAACCAUGGCUUAAAUAAACCACAGCUUAGCACUAUGUGUGAACCAGGCCACCAGCUGUCAGCCUCAGUUUCCCAUCUAUACCACGGAAAUUACUGUAACAAAGCCAGGUGAGGACAAGGAGAGCAAAAUGGUGAAGAAUAUAACAUGCUAUAUGAAUUGCAAAUGAAAGUUGUGCAUGGGAGUAUUGUUAUCGCAUGUCCUAAGAGUUUUGUACACAUUGCCAAAGGCAAACAAACAACAAAAGUAAUUGAUAAAGGCCAUUUAGGAUUUGUCCCAGCCCAAAUCCACUGCUUAAUUUUGCAUAUCUUAAUGCUGUGCUCUGUCGUCUCCAGGAGAUUACUUCCCCUUGCCUAACACUUUAAUUCUUUUUUACUUUUGCAGUACUGACUUGAUGUGUAACGUGGUCUCCUGUUAUAUGUUAUAUUAUAUUUAUAGUG